GGGGGAUAACCCGAGGAAACUCGGGCUAAGACCGCAUAAGCCUUUGAGGUCAAACUCAAAGGGAAAAGGGUUUAGCUUUCGAGCUUGAUCCUACCGGAGGAGGGGCCCGCGUCCCAUUAGCUAGUUGGUGGGGUAAAAGCCUACCAAGGCUUCGAUGGGUAGCCGGUCUGAGAGGACGGACGGCCACACUGGAACUGAGACACGGUCCAGACUCCUACGGGAGGCAGCAGUGGGGAAUUUUGGGCAAUGGGCGAAAGCCUGACCCAGCAACGCCGCGUGGAGGAUGAAGGCCCUCGGGUCGUAAACUCCUGUCCUAGGGGAAGAAA
rnacentral:rRNA from 1 species